rnacentral:rRNA from 1 species
CGUGCCUAACACAUGCAAGUCGAACGAGAAAGCUCCCUUCGGGGGGUNAGUAAAGUGGCAGACGGGUGAGUAACACGUGGGCAACCUGCCCCGAGGUCGGGGGAUAACCCUCCGAAAGAGGGCUAAUACCGCAUGACAUCCCAUGGCCGAUGGGCCGAGGGAUCAAAGCAGGCCUCUUCUUGAAAGCUUGCGCCACGGGAUGGGCCCGCGCCCCAUUAGCUUGUUGGUGAGGUAACGGCUCACCAAGGCGACGAUGGGUAGCCGGCCUGAGAGGGCGAUCGGCCACACUGGAACUGAGACACGGUCCAGACUCCUACGGGAGGCAGCAGUGAGGAAUUUUGCGCAAUGGGCGAAAGCCUGACGCAGCGACGCCGCGUGGAGGACGAAGGCCUUCGGGUCGUAAACUCCUGUCAAGAGGGACGAAUGUCAGGUGGAUGAAUAAGCCUCCUGGCUGACGGUACCUCUGGAGGAAGCCCCGGCUAACUCCGUG